UGGCCCAGAGACGCCAAAAGGUUGGACAUCCCUGAACCACUUAGGGAAGACUGUAUUCAUGGGUGCCAUUUAGGAAAAGCCCCUUUGCACGAAGCCGGUGGAUCCAAGUAGCAGCAGGUGUGAACCGUGAUGGACACUGGGGUACACCCUUCAUCUCCCCUGCAGGACUGAAGCACACAUUCCCUCAGCUGGAGAGGCUGCAAUGGCUAACAGUCCCACCAUCCUCAGCAGAAGAGCAUGUCUUCACCCAAGUCCAUGCCCUCAUCUCAGAGGCAACCUGCAUGCUUCACCUGGUUGAUGCUGUGGAAGAGCCAUCCUGACACAUGAAAUAAGAGAUGGAGAUGCCCCAACAAAGAAGUGAUGAGCCUGGGCUGAGACCCUGGUGUGGACUGCGAAGCCGUUGAUUUUUCACACGACUGCUGGGAGGAGUGAGGGCAGGACAGAAAACCAACAUCGGGAAUUCUCCGCGUGCCGGUCCAGGGUUGUGCAUUUUACACGGCUCACAUCACCUAAUUCUUCCAACAACUCUACAAAGAAGGUCUAACUAUAAACUUAAGAGUGAUCCUUCUAAAACAAUUCCACCAAAACGCCCUCAGCAUGGAGAGGAGGGCCAGCUCCCAGCCUUGUGUGAUCCUGGGAAGUAGCUGUGAACAGAUGCUACAAACAAGAAACAUGUAUGCGGCCUCACGUUUCUUCUAUAAUUUCAUUAAGGAAUUUAGGCUUCGAUUCCAUAUAAUGUUUAAUAUUUGUUUGAAUUUUAAAAAGUGAUGUUCUUUCCCCUUACAUUCUCAGGUGAAAUUGACAUUCCAGAAAAAGAGCCCUCGUUUACGCUGUGGCUUCCUUCACCUUGCCUCUGAUGCAUCGCUGAGUAGACAUCUUAGAGUCACCAGCAGUAAGCUUAUGAAGGAACAUAUGUCAGCAAGUGGCAGGAUGUAGUUGCAUGGGAAGAGAAACUUCACCUGUCUUGUUUACUAUAGUAUCCCCGGCAUACAGAAGAAUGCCUGAACACUGCAAGAGCUCAAACGAUACUCAUGGAACGAUAACAAGAGGCACUCCCGGGAGUGUAGGCUUUUUGUAAAUAGCUGGAUCACUCUCUUAAUUGCUGUCUCUGUUUGAAAAAUUGAUAAACAAUCUGUGCAACUACAUACUGUGCAAAUAGUGUCUGUACUGUUGUGGAAAGAUAAGUCAGGAUAAGUUUCAACUAGUCUUAUUGCCCAAAUUAGGGACUUAGCCCCUCUCUUGUCAAGACUUAAUUUUGAUUCUUGUUUUCUUUUAGUGAGAAGGAUAUUGAGGACACAAGAAAUAGCAGAUGGAUCAAUAGACCCUGCUCCUCCUUGGCUCCCUGUGACAUGCUUCACUAGGCAAUACACAGACAUUAGCUGCACGGCUUCCGUCUCUCAGCUGGGGUGAGAGUCCGCAACUAUCCACACAAGGGCCUUGUUGCCUGUUUGAAUCAACCCAGUUAUUUUUUUUUCUAAGAAGAUGGAUCAGAGAGGGCUACUCGAGGUAUUUUUCCCCCUUUUAUUAUCUCCUCUAGGGCAGAAGUUAUGGGCCUAUAACAGUACCUGUUAUGAUCUGAAUGUCUGUGUUCCCUCCUAAAAUUCACGCGGUGAAUGCCUAAACCCCAGGGUGAUGUUAUUAGGAGUUGGGCUUUUAGAAGUAAUUAGCUUUGGGUGAGGUCAUGAGAGUGGAGGCCCCACGAUGGGGUGAAUGGCCACAAAGAAGAGGGAGAGAACAGAGCUCUCUCUCCACCGUGUAAGGACACAGCUGGAAGGCAGCCAUCUGCAAACCAGGAGCAGAGUUCUCACCAGGAAUAAAGUCUGUUGGCACCCUGAUCUUGGACUUUCAUUCUUCCAGAACUGUGAGAAAAUAAGUGUCUGUUGUUUAAGCUACCCAGUCGAUGGUAUUUUGUUAUAACAGCCCAAACGAAGACAACAUCAGACCACAAAUCUCUUUUUGCCUUGUUUUGAACCAAAGGGAUAUUUCCUCCUAUUUUCUAUACAACUGCUAAAAGAAGACAAGCAUGAUUUCUAAACAAAGGGACUUCAAGAAGGGGAUUUGUGGAUGUUACUUGUUUUCUUUUGUUGUAGCAGCAAAGCAUUCUUUCUUUGGGAAAGGGGCACCAAAAUUGUGGUAAAACUUAAUAACAAGAGACAAUUGUCACAGUGUGUUCAUCUCAACUGCUUCCC